GGCGGCAGGCCUAACACACWCAAGUCGGACGGUAGCACAGAGAGCUUGUUCUUGGGUGACGAGUGGCGGACGGGUGAGUAAUGUCUGGGGAUCUGCCCGAUAGAGGGGGAUAACCACUGGAAACGGUGGCUAAUACCGCAUAACGUCGCAAGACCAAAGAGGGGGACCUUCGGGCCUCUCACUAUCGGAUGAACCCAGAUGGGAUUAGCUAGUAGGCGGGGUAAUGGCCCACCUAGGCGACGAUCCCUAGCUGGUCUGAGAGGAUGACCAGCCACACUGGAACUGAGACACGGUCC
rnacentral:rRNA from 1 species